AACCACCUUCACAACGCCCGUAGUGCGGUAGUAACGGAUAGAUCGUAAAGACGCUGCAAGUACGUCCAUGUAAGCUCGGAUUGCGCCAUCCCUGGCGCAAACGCUUU
rnacentral:ncRNA from 1 species